AAACGUCAUCAGGAAUGCGCCCAUGAGAGCGCGAUUAGAUUGGCUGGAGGGAGGGCGGUGUCGGCCUACGCCCCCAGAGUCUUCCGGCUGGCUCUGGAGGUGGCGCGCUUUGUGUGGGUGAGGGCGGGGAGGCCUGGCUGUGUGGAUCUCUGACAGGUGAGGCGGGGGACGCAGAAGUCCAGCCGCCCUCUCUCACAGCGGAGUCCGAAACAGGCCUACCAGUCAGUUCUUAUUUCUACUGGGUGUUUCCAUGCUCCACCAUGUUAAAAGCUAAGAAUCAGCUUUUUUUACUUUCACCUCAUUACCUGAGGCAGGUAAAAGGAUCAUCAGGCUCCAGGCUCAUACGGCAACGACUUCUACACCAGCAACAGCCCCUUCACCCAGAAUGGGCUGCCCUGGCCAAAAAGCAGCUGAAAGGCAAAAACCCAGAAAACCUAAUAUGGCACACCCCAGAAGGGAUCUCUAUAAAACCCUUGUAUUCCAAGAGAGAUACUACGGACUUGCCUGAAGAACUUCCAGGAGUGAAGCCAUUCACACGUGGACCAUAUCCUACCAUGUAUACCUUUAGGCCCUGGACCAUCCGCCAGUAUGCUGGUUUCAGUACUGUGGAAGAGAGCAAUAAGUUCUAUAAGGACAAUAUUAAGGCUGGUCAGCAGGGAUUAUCAGUUGCCUUUGAUCUGGCAACACAUCGUGGGUAUGAUUCAGACAACCCUCGAGUUCGUGGUGAUGUUGGAAUGGCUGGAGUUGCUAUUGACACUGUGGAAGAUACCAAAAUUCUUUUUGAUGGAAUUCCUUUAGAAAAAAUGUCAGUUUCCAUGACUAUGAAUGGAGCAGUUAUUCCAGUUCUUGCAAAUUUUAUAGUAACUGGAGAAGAACAAGGUGUACCUAAAGAGAAACUUACUGGUACCAUCCAAAAUGAUAUACUAAAGGAAUUUAUGGUCCGAAAUACAUACAUUUUUCCUCCAGAACCAUCCAUGAAAAUUAUUGCUGACAUCUUUGAAUAUACAGCAAAGCACAUGCCAAAAUUUAAUUCAAUUUCAAUUAGUGGAUACCAUAUGCAGGAAGCAGGGGCUGAUGCCAUUUUGGAGCUGGCCUAUACUUUAGCAGAUGGAUUGGAGUACUCUAGAACUGGACUCCAGGCUGGCCUGACAAUUGAUGAAUUUGCACCAAGGUUGUCUUUCUUCUGGGGAAUUGGAAUGAAUUUCUAUAUGGAAAUAGCAAAGAUGAGAGCUGGUAGAAGACUCUGGGCUCACUUAGUAGAGAAAAUGUUUCAGCCUAAAAACUCAAAAUCUCUUCUUCUAAGAGCACAUUGUCAGACAUCUGGAUGGUCACUUACUGAGCAGGAUCCUUACAAUAAUAUUGUCCGUACUGCAAUAGAAGCAAUGGCAGCAGUAUUUGGAGGGACUCAGUCUUUGCACACAAAUUCUUUUGAUGAAGCUUUGGGUUUGCCAACUGUCAAAAGUGCUCGAAUUGCCAGGAACACACAAAUCAUCAUUCAAGAAGAAUCUGGGAUUCCCAAAGUGGCUGAUCCUUGGGGAGGUUCUUACAUGAUGGAAUGUCUCACAAAUGAUGUUUAUGAUGCUGCUUUAAAGCUCAUUAAUGAAAUUGAAGAAAUGGGUGGAAUGGCCAAAGCUGUAGCUGAGGGAAUACCUAAACUUCGAAUUGAAGAAUGUGCUGCCCGAAGGCAAGCUAGAAUAGAUUCUGGUUCUGAAGUAAUCGUUGGAGUAAAUAAGUACCAGUUGGAAAAAGAAGAUGCUGUAGAAGUUCUGGCAAUUGAUAAUACUUCAGUGCGAAACAGGCAGAUUGAAAAACUUAAGAAGAUCAAAUCCAGCAGGGAUCAAGCUUUGGCUGAACGUUGUCUUGCUGCACUAACUGAAUGUGCUGCUAGCGGAGAUGGAAAUAUCCUGGCUCUUGCAGUGGAGGCAUCUCGUGCAAGAUGUACAGUGGGAGAAAUCACAGAUGCCCUGAAAAAGGUAUUUGGUGAACAUAAAGCGAAUGAUCGAAUGGUGAGUGGAGCAUAUCGGCAGGAAUUUGGAGAAAGUAAAGAGAUAACAUCUGCUAUCAAGAGUCCCCUUCAGGAGUUUCUGAUGUCAAACAGAUGUUUAACUAACAAUGAUAUUGCUUCAUAUCCUCCAGGGUUCGUAAAUUCAUGGAACGUGAAGGUCGCAGACCUCGUCUUCUUGUAGCAAAAAUGGGACAAGAUGGCCAUGACAGAGGAGCAAAAGUUAUUGCUACAGGAUUUGCUGAUCUUGGUUUUGAUGUGGACAUAGGCCCUCUUUUCCAGACUCCUCGUGAAGUGGCCCAGCAGGCCGUGGAUGCAGAUGUGCAUGCUGUAGGUGUAAGCACCCUCGCUGCUGGUCACAAAACCCUGGUUCCUGAACUCAUCAAAGAACUUAACUCCCUUGGACGGCCAGAUAUUCUUGUCAUGUGUGGAGGGGUGAUACCACCUCAGGAUUAUGAAUUUCUGUUUGAAGUUGGUGUUUCCAAUGUAUUUGGUCCUGGGACUCGAAUUCCAAAGGCUGCCGUUCAGGUGCUUGAUGAUAUUGAGAAGUGUUUGGAAAAGAAGCAGCAAUCUGUAUAAUAUCCUCUUUUUGUUUUAGCUUUUGUCUAAAAUAUUAUUUUAGUUAUGAUCAAAGAAGAGAGUAAAGCUAUGUCUUCAAUUUAAUUUCAAUACCUGAUUUGUGCUUUCCUUGAAAGCUUUACUUUAAAAUACCUUACUUAUAAGCCUGGUGUCAUGCUGUAAGUAUGUACAUACAGCUUCACUUCAAAAAUAAAAAAAAAAUCCCUAAAAACUCUCUAUACAAUACUUUAUCAAGAACUCUGGGCAAUGGUAUUAUUUUUAAAAAUCAUGGUGAUGUAUUUAUUAGAAUGUUUCUUAUAAAUCUGUUUACUUUUUAUAUUAAUAAUUAAACUGUACCUAAAAAACUGACUAUUCCCAUUUGUCAGUUUAGCAUUACAUUGUCUUGAGCACCAGAAAAUAAAAUCCAUAUAUUAAUAAAAACCUAUCUUGAAAAACUAGUGGAGUGUAUUUAUGUGGCAAAAGAGAUUUUGGGAGGAGUCCUCAGCCAAAUUCUACCAGAAUCACCUUGAUAAAAGAAGUAUUAAAUCAAGCAUAGCAGUUUGGAAUAUGGGGAAUUUGACAGUAUAUUUCUUCAAGUCUGAUUUUACUUUCUUCCUGAGCAUGACCAUCUGACCUUGUUAUUUCUGGGCUUGGCUCAAGACCCAGGAGAGUGGAUGUUUAUGAACAUUCCUUUAAAUAAAAGUGCUUAGGUUGUAGUUAUGGCUUUGUCUAGAAUGGUGAUGUCAACUGUGAGUGUAGGUCUAUGACACAGAAAGAAUUCAACUUUCCAGAUCUACAAAGAUGCUACCUUGCAUAGAUUUGCUCCUUAAACAUAAAUUGCAAAAAUAAAAAUAUCACAGAGAACACCUGUACUUUGCUUAUUGAAAGAUUUGCUCACUAAAGAAGGAAAGUUGCCAUUUACCUGUGUAACAAAUCUGCAUAUCCUGCACAUGUUCCCCAGAAUGUAAAAUAAAAAAAAAUUUAAAUAAAAAAGGAAAGUUGUCCUUUAUUGUUAACAUGAUCCAUUACAUGAAUAUAAAAUAAAUAAUUAUCUUUUGUAAUAAAUUUCUAUUCUAUUAGAUCAGAGAGCAGUCUUUUGGAAAGUAUUAUAGGUACAUUACUGUAGAAUUUACAAACUCAUUGUAAUAGAAUAUAUUUAAUUUUCAGAAUAUGAUUAUCUGAAUGGUAUUGUCAUGAUUAUUGUUCCCAUUUUACAGAUGAACACUCUGACUUCAAGUCCAAUGAUAUAUUCACUAUGCCACUAUGCCAUUUUAUUGACUUUUCCUUGUAAAGCAAUGCACACUAAUUUAGUAAGUAUUUCGUUUCUGUGAUGUGUUCAGUUGUGUGCUGGAUGACGUGAAAUAAACUCAUCCUUGAGGAAUUUA